rnacentral:rRNA from 1 species
CGGGCGCUUACAAUGCAGUCGAGCGCACUCUUCGGAGUGAGCGGCGGACGGGUUAGUAACGCGUGGGAACGUGCCCUUCUCUAAGGAAUAGCCACUGGAAACGGUGAGUAAUACCUUAUACGCCCUUCGGGGGAAAGAUUUAUCGGAGAAGGAUCGGCCCGCGUUAGAUUAGAUAGUUGGUGGGGUAAUGGCCUACCAAGUCUACGAUCUAUAGCUGGUUUUAGAGGAUGAUCAGCAACACUGGGACUGAGACACGGCCCAGACUCCUACGGGAGGCAGCAGUGGGGAAUCUUGGACAAUGGGCGCAAGCCUGAUCCAGCCAUGCCGCGUGAGUGAUGAAGGCCUUAGGGUCGUAAAGCUCUUUCGCCAGAGAUGAUAAUGACAGUAUCUGGUAAAGAAACCCCGGCUAACUCCGUGCCAGCAGCCGCGGUAAUACGGAGGGGGUUAGCGUUGUUCGGAAUUACUGGGCGUAAAGCGCACGUAGGCGGAUCAGAAAGUAUAGGGUGAAAUCCCAGGGCUCAACCCUGGAACUGCCUUGUAAACUCCUGGUCUUGAGUUCGAGAGAGGUGAGUGGAAUUCCGAGUGUAGAGGUGAAAUUCGUAGAUAUUCGGAGGAACACCAGUGGCGAAGGCGGCUCACUGGCUCGAUACUGACGCUGAGGUGCGAAAGUGUGGGGAGCAAACAGGAUUAGAUACCCUGGUAGUC